AUUGAACGCUGGCGGCGUGCCUAACACAUGCAAGUCGAUCGGUAACGCGGGGCAACCUGGCGACGAGAGGCGGACGGGUGAGCAAUAUUUGGGAAUCUGCCUAUUAGUGGGGGAUAACCCGGGGAAACUCGGGCUAAUACCGCAUACGCACUACGGUGGAAAGCCGGGGACCGCAAGGCCUGGCGCUAUUAGAUGAGCCCAAAUCGGAUUAGCUAGUUGGUGAGGUAACGGCUCACCAAGGCGACGAUCCGUAGCUGGUUUGAGAGAACGACCAGCCGCACCGGAACUGAGACACGGUCCGGCCUCCUACGGGAGGCAGCAGUGGGGGAUAUUGGACAAUGGGGGAAACCCUGAUCCAGCGACGCCGCGUGGGUGAAGAAGGCCUGCGGGUUGUAAAGCCCUUUCGGUUGGGAAGAACAGUAUUGACCUAACACGUCAGUACCUUGACGUAACCAACAAAAGAAGCACCGGCUAACUCUGUGCCAGCCGCCGCCGUAAGAC
rnacentral:rRNA from 1 species